UUAAACAAUUUAAAUUUCAGAUUACAUUUUACAUCACUGAUUUGGUUGAACAUUGUAUAAUUCUCAGUUGGGUACUCUGUCCAAGCUGGCCUCACUUUAAACCUUGUCUUGGUCAGUUUAGUCUCAAAUUGCCUCAAAGGCUUGUUCUCAAUUUGCAUGUUGGUUUCAUGAACUAAUUUAGAAGCAUGUGGAAAUACUUUUUUUUAGUGUGAAAAUUUUCUGAUGACCAUACCAAGAUGAUGAUUAUAAGUGCUGCAGCACUCUCAGAUACACAUCUACUUGACCAUGGUCAUGUCACAGUCCAGAGCCACUUUCUAGUUCUUGCAUUUUAUAAUCUGAAAGUCUAGACAUAAGAUAAACAGGAAGUGCUGCAAUCUUUGUCUUUGUCCUUGUCUAGCAGAUGUUUAUCAGUGUCAUCUCAUUUUAUUUUCUUUUCUAUUACAUAAAUGUUGUGAUUUACUAUGGAUCAUUGAUGUUGUAUUAACCAAGGCCUGCUGACCAGUGAUGGAUUAAAAUGGAAGACAAGACGAAGGUUGAUCACUCCAACAUUUCACUUCAGCAUUUUGAAUACCUUCCUACAAGUUUUUGAAGAACAAUCGAAAAUUCUGGUUUCAAACCUUGAGAAAAAGGUCAAGACAGGAACUUUCAACAUAAUGCCAUACAUUACUCGGUGUACUCUGGAUAUUAUAUGCAGUAAGUACUUUGCACUAUUCAGUCACAGACUAAAAUUUGAUGAUGUUCGUGUUUGUUCUUGCAUUUGAUUAUAUUCCUUCUUUUCUCCUACAGUAGAUGUAUGUCUAUGUUAGCAUACCCUUGUGAACUGA